rnacentral:lncRNA from 1 species
AGAGCGAGUUGUUUCUUAGACUGCAAAAGAGCUUGAAGCUCGGACGCUGUGGGGCCUGUCUGGCCUUGGGGACACAAGACAGGACUUUUUCCCUUUUAGCUCUAGGCCCAUGUAGGACACGGCAGAGCAGAAGUUCUACUUCAGUGAGAGCAGGCCUGAGAUGAAACUGCGUUUUCAUAGGCCUUUGUAAGUCAUGCUCCCGGUAGGCUUGUAAAAGCCCUGUGCAGAGUGAGCUGUUUCUUGACUUCCCAAAGAGCUGGAAGCCGGACGCUGCGGGACCUGUCUGCCCUUGAUGACAAUAGGCAGAACUUUGUCCCUUUCAGCUCUAGGCCCAUGUAGAACACGGCAGAGCAGAAGUUCUACUUCAGCGAGAUCAGGCCUGGGAAGAAACUGCGUUUCGCAGGCCUUUGUAAACAUGUUCCUGGUAGGCUUGUAGGAGCCCUGUGCAGAGCGAGUUGUUUCUUAGCUGCCCAAAGAGUUGCAAGCCAGACGCUGAGGGACUUGCCUCCCCUUUUGGAAACAAGGCAGGACUUUGUGAAUUGCAGCUCUAGGGUCAAAUAGGACACGGCAAAGCAGAAGUUCUACUUCAGCGAGAUCAGGCCUGGGAAGAAACUGCGUCUCACAGGCCUUUGUAAGACAUGUUCCCGGUAGGCUUUAAGAGCCCUGUGCAGAGCGAGUUGUUUCUUAGCCUGCCAAAGAGCUGGAAGCCGGACGCUGUGGGGCCUCUCUGCCCUUGAGGACACAAGGCUGGACUUUCUCCCUUUGAGCUCUAGGCCCAUGUAGGACACGGCAGAGCAGAACUUCUGCUUCCGCGAGAUCAGGCCUGGGAAGAAACUGCGUUUCUCAGGCCUUUGUCAACAUGUUCCUGGUAGGCUUUUAGGAGCCCUGUGCAGAGCGAGUUGUUUCUUAGCUGCCCAAAGAGCUGGAAGCCGGACGCUGUGGGGCCUCUCUGCCCUUGAGGACACAAGGCUGGACUUUCUCCCUUUGAGCUCUACCCAUGUAGGACACGGCAGAGCUGAACUUCUGCUUCAGCGAGAUCAGGCCUGGGAAGAAACUGUGUUUCACAGGCCUUUGUAAGACAUGCUCCCCGUAGGCUUGUGAAAGCCCUGUGCAGAGUGAGCUGUUUCUUAGCUUCCCAAAGAGCUGGAAGCCACACGCUGUGGGACCUGUCUGCCCUUGAGGACAAAAGGCAGAACCUUGCCCCUUUCAGCUCUAGGCCCAUGUAGAUCACGGCAGAGCAGAAGUUCUACUUCAGCGAGAUCAGGUCUGGGAAGAAACUGCGUUUCACCGACCUUUGUAAGACAGGUUCCCGGUAGGCUGUAAAACAGCAGUGCAGAGCAAGCUGUUUCUCAGCUGCCCAAAGAGCUGGAAGCCGGACGCUGUGGGGCCUGUCUGACCAUGAAGACACAACAGAGGACUUUGUCCCUUUCAACUCUAGGCCCAUGUAGGACACGGCAGAGCAGAAGUUCUACUUCACCGAGAUCAGGCCUGGCAAGAAACUGCGUUUCAAUGGCCCUUGUAGGACAUGUUCCCAGUAGGCUGUAAAACACCAGUGCAGAGCGAGCUGUUUCUUAGCUGCCCAAAGAGCUGGAAGCCGGACGCUGAGGGACUUGCCUCCCCUUGUGGAAACAAGGCAGGACUUUGUGAAUUGCAGCUCUAGGGUCAAAUAGGACACGGCAGAGCAGAAGUUCUACUUCAGCGAGAUCAGGCCUGGGAAGAAAGUGCGUCUCACAGGCCUUGGUAAGACAUGUUCCCGGUAGGCUUUAAGAGCCCUGUGCAGAGCGAGUUGUUUCUUAGACUGCAAAAGAGCUGGAAGCCCGACGCUGUGGGGCCUGUCUGCCCUUGGGGACACAAGACAGGACUUUGUCCCUUUUAGCUCUAGGCCCAUGUAGGACAAGGCAGAGCAGAAGUUCUACUUCAGUGAGAGCAGGCCUGAGAUGAAACUGCAUUUCAUAGGCCUUUGUAAGACAUGCUCCCGGUAGGCUUGUAAAAGCCCUGUGCAGAGUGAGCUGUUUCUUGGCUUCCCAAAGAGCUGGAAGCCGGACGCUGCGGGACCUGUCUGCCCUUGAGGACAAAA